ACGGAGGGUGCAAGCGUUGUUCGGAAUCACUGGGCGUAAAGGGCGCGUAGGCGGUUUGAUAAGUCAGAUGUGAAAGCCCACGGCUUAACUGUGGAAGUGCAUUUGAAACUGUCAGACUUGAGUAUCAGAGGGGAAAGUGGAAUUCCCGGUGUGGAGGUGAGAGUCGUAAAUAUCGGGAUGAAUCGCGGAGGCGUAGGCGACUUUCUGGAUGAAUACUGCCGGUGAGGCGCGUAAGCGUGUGGAGGAAUGAG
rnacentral:rRNA from 1 species